GAUUAAGUUAUUAAGGGCGCACGGUGGAUGCCUUGGCACUAGAAGCCGAUGAAGGACGUUACUAACGACGAUAUGCUUUGGGGAGCUGUAAGUAAGCUUUGAUCCAGAGAUUUCCGAAUGGGGAAACCCAGCAUGAGUUAUGUCAUGUUAUCGAUAUGUGAAUACAUAGCAUAUCAGAAGGCACACCCGGAGAACUGAAACAUCUUAGUACCCGGAGGAAGAGAAAGAAAAUUCGAUUCCCUUAGUAGCGGCGAGCGAAACGGGAAGAGCCCAAACCAACAAGCUUGCUUGUUGGGGUUGUAGGACACUCUAUACGGAGUUACAAAGGACGACAUUAGACGAAUCAUCUGGAAAGAUGAAUCAAAGAAGGUAAUAAUCCUGUAGUCGAAAAUGUUGUCUCUCUUGAGUGGAUCCUGAGUACGACGGAGCACGUGAAAUUCCGUCGGAAUCUGGGAGGACCAUCUCCUAAGGCUAAAUACUCUCUAGUGACCGAUAGUGAACCAGUACCGUGAGGGAAAGGUGAAAAGCACCCCGGAAGGGGAGUGAAAUAGAACCUGAAACUGUGUGCUUACAAGUAGUCAGAGCCCGUUAAUGGGUGAUGGCGUGCCUUUUGUAGAAUGAACCGGCGAGUUACGAUUUGAUGCAAGGUUAAGCAGUAAAUGUGGAGCCGUAGCGAAAGCGAGUCUGAAUAGGGCGUUUAGUAUUUGGUCGUAGACCCGAAACCAGGUGAUCUACCCUUGGUCAGGUUGAAGUUCAGGUAACACUGAAUGGAGGACCGAACCGACUUACGUUGAAAAGUGAGCGGAUGAACUGAGGGUAGCGGAGAAAUUUCAAUCGAACCUGGAGAUAGCUGGUUCUCUCCGAAAUAGCUUUAGGGCUAGCCUCAAGUGAUGAUUAUUGGAGGUAGAGCACUGUUUGGACGAGGGGCCCCUCUCGGGUUACCGAAUUCAGACAAACUCCGAAUGCCAAUUAAUUUAACUUGGGAGUCAGAACAUGGGUGAUAAGGUCCGUGUUCGAAAGGGAAACAGCCCAGACCACCAGCUAAGGUCCCAAAAUAUAUGUUAAGUGGAAAAGGAUGUGGCGUUGCCCAGACAACUAGGAUGUUGGCUUAGAAGCAGCCAUCAUUUAAAGAGUGCGUAAUAGCUCACUAGUCGAGUGACACUGCGCCGAAAAUGUACCGGGGCUAAACAUAUUACCGAAGCUGUGGAUUGUCCUUUGGACAAUGGUAGGAGAGCGUUCUAAGGGCGUUGAAGCAUGAUCGUAAGGACAUGUGGAGCGCUUAGAAGUGAGAAUGCCGGUGUGAGUAGCGAAAGACGGGUGAGAAUCCCGUCCACCGAUUGACUAAGGUUUCCAGAGGAAGGCUCGUCCGCUCUGGGUUAGUCGGGUCCUAAGCUGAGGCCGACAGGCGUAGGCGAUGGAUAACAGGUUGAUAUUCCUGUACCACCUAUAAUCGUUUUAAUCGAUGGGGGGACGCAGUAGGAUAGGCGAAGCGUGCGAUUGGAUUGCACGUCUAAGCAGUAAGGCUGAGUAUUAGGCAAAUCCGGUACUCGUUAAGGCUGAGCUGUGAUGGGGAGAAGACAUUGUGUCUUCGAGUCGUUGAUUUCACACUGCCGAGAAAAGCCUCUAGAUAGAAAAUAGGUGCCCGUACCGCAAACCGACACAGGUAGUCAAGAUGAGAAUUCUAAGGUGAGCGAGCGAACUCUCGUUAAGGAACUCGGCAAAAUGACCCCGUAACUUCGGGAGAAGGGGUGCUCUUUAGGGUUAACGCCCAGAAGAGCCGCAGUGAAUAGGCCCAAGCGACUGUUUAUCAAAAACACAGGUCUCUGCUAAACCGUAAGGUGAUGUAUAGGGGCUGACGCCUGCCCGGUGCUGGAAGGUUAAGAGGAGUGGUUAGCUUCUGCGAAGCUACGAAUCGAAGCCCCAGUAAACGGCGGCCGUAACUAUAACGGUCCUAAGGUAGCGAAAUUCCUUGUCGGGUAAGUUCCGACCCGCACGAAAGGCGUAACGAUUUGGGCACUGUCUCAACGAGAGACUCGGUGAAAUCAUAGUACCUGUGAAGAUGCAGGUUACCCGCGACAGGACGGAAAGACCCCGUGGAGCUUUACUGUAGCCUGAUAUUGAAAUUCGGCACAGCUUGUACAGGAUAGGUAGGAGCCUUUGAAACGUGAGCGCUAGCUUACGUGGAGGCGCUGGUGGGAUACUACCCUAGCUGUGUUGGCUUUCUAACCCGCACCACUUAUCGUGGUGGGAGACAGUGUCAGGCGGGCAGUUUGACUGGGGCGGUCGCCUCCUAAAAGGUAACGGAGGCGCUCAAAGGUUCCCUCAGAAUGGUUGGAAAUCAUUCAUAGAGUGUAAAGGCAUAAGGGAGCUUGACUGCGAGACCUACAAGUCGAGCAGGGUCGAAAGACGGACUUAGUGAUCCGGUGGUUCCGCAUGGAAGGGCCAUCGCUCAACGGAUAAAAGCUACCCCGGGGAUAACAGGCUUAUCUCCCCCAAGAGUUCACAUCGACGGGGAGGUUUGGCACCUCGAUGUCGGCUCAUCGCAUCCUGGGGCUGUAGUCGGUCCCAAGGGUUGGGCUGUUCGCCCAUUAAAGCGGUACGCGAGCUGGGUUCAGAACGUCGUGAGACAGUUCGGUCCCUAUCCGUCGUGGGCGUAGGAAAUUUGAGAGGAGCUGUCCUUAGUACGAGAGGACCGGGAUGGACAUACCUCUGGUGUACCAGUUGUCGUGCCAACGGCAUAGCUGGGUAGCUAUGUGUGGACGGGAUAAGUGCUGAAAGCAUCUAAGCAUGAAGCCCCCCUCAAGAUGAGAUUUCCCAACUUCGGUUAUAAGAUCCCUCAAAGAUGAUGAGGUUAAUAGGUUCGAGGUGGAAGCAUGGUGACAUGUGGAGCUGACGAAUACUAAUCGAUCGAAGACUUAAUCAA
rnacentral:rRNA from 1 species